rnacentral:rRNA from 1 species
UUCCGGUUGAUCCUGCCGGAGGCACCGCUAUCGGAGUCCGACUAAGCCAUGCGAGUCUUGGUAGGCUUUGCCUACCGGCGGACGGCUCAGUAACACGUGGACAACCUGCCCUCGGGAGGGGGAUAACCCCGGGAAACUGGGAAUAAACCCCCAUAGGUCACGGAUGCUGGAAGGCGCCGUGACCGAAAUUCCGAAAGGAGCCCGAGGAUGGGUCUGCGGCCUAUCAGGUUGUAGUGGGGGUAACGGCCCCACUAGCCUACGACGGGUACGGGCCCUGAGAGGGGGAGCCCGGAGAUGGACUCUGAGACACGAGUCCAGGCCCUACGGGGCGCAGCAGGCGCGAAAACUCCGCAAUGCUCGAAAGAGCGACGGGGGGACUCCGAGUGCCUACGCUUUGCGUAGGCUUUUCCCGAGCCUACAAAGCUCGGGGAAUAAGGGCUGGGUAAGACGGGUGCCAGCCGCCGCGGUAAUACCCGCAGCUCGAGUGGUGGCCACUUUUAUUGGGCCUAAAGCGUCCGUAGCCGGUCUGGUAAAUGCCUGGGUAAAUCGUAGGGCUUAACCCUACGGCUCCCAGGUAGACUGCCAGACUUGGGACCGGAGGAGGGAGAGGGUACUCCAGGGGUAGGGGUGAAAUCAGCAAGGUGAGUUGCUGAGGUAACUUGCCUUGCAAGUCACAAUCCUGUAAUCCCUGGAGGACCACCGGUGGCGAAGGCGCUCUCCUAGGACGGGUCCGACGGUGAGGGACGAAAGCCAGGGGAGCAAACCGGAUUAGAUACCCGGGUAGUCCUGGCCGUAAACGAUGUGGACUUGGUAUUGGGAUGGCUACGAGCUGUCCCAGUGUCGUAGGGAAGCCGUUAAGUCCACCGCCUGGGGAGUACGGUCGCAAGGCUGAAACUUAAAGGAAUUGGCGGGGGAGCACUGCAACGGGAGGAGCGUGCGGUUUAAUUGGAUUCAACGCCGGGA